rnacentral:misc_RNA from 1 species
AGCAGCCGCGGUAAUUCCAGCUCCAAUAGCGUAUAUUAAAGUUGCUGCAGUUAAAAGCUCGUAGUUGAAUUUCGGGACUAAUAUGUCGGUCGUGCCUCGGUACGUACUGGCUUAUUGGUUUCUCCCUUCUGAAGAACCAUGAUGUCAUUUAUUUGGUGUCGUGGGGAAUCAGGACUGUUACUUUGAAAAAAUUAGAGUGUUUAAAGCAGGCUCACGCUUGAAUACAUUAGCAUGGAAUAAUGAAAUAGGACGUUUGAUUCUAUUUUGUUGGUUUCUAGGAUCGACGUAAUGAUUAAUAGGGAUAGUUGGGGGCAUUAGUAUUCAAUUGUCAGAGGUGAAAUUCUUGGAUUUAUUGAAGACUAACUACUGCGAAAGCAUUUGCCAAGGAUGUUUUCAUUAAUCAAGAACGAAAGUUAGGGAUCGAAGACGAUCAGAUACCGUCGUAGUCUUAACCAUAAACUAUGCCGACUAGGGAUCGGAUGAUGUUAAUUUUUAAUGUACUCAUUCGGCGCCUUAACC